CCUACGGGAGGCAGCAGUGAGGAAUAUUGGUCAAUGGACGAGAGUCUGAACCAGCCAAGUAGCGUGAAGGAUGACUGCCCUAUGGGUUGUAAACUUCUUUUAUAUGGGAGUAAAAUGUUCCACGUGUGGGAUUUUGUAUGUACCAUAUGAAUAAGGCUCGGCUAACUCCGUGCCAGCAGCCGCGGUAAUACGGAGGAUCCGAGCGUUAUCCGGAUUUAUUGGGUUUAAAGGGAGCGUAGGUGGAUUGUUAAGUCAGUUGUGAAAGUUUGCGGCUCAACCGUAAAAUUGCAGUUGAAACUGGCAGGCUUGAGUACAGUAGAGGUGGGCGGAAUUCGUGGUGUAGCGGUGAAAUGCUUAGAUAUCACGAAGAACUCCGAUUGCGAAGGCAGCUCACUGGACUGCAACUGACACUGAGGCUCGAAAGUGUGGGUAUCAAACAGGAUUAGAUACCCUGGUAGUC
rnacentral:rRNA from 1 species